GCUUGGCGAGUAAAUCAUUUAUGGCUUUCGGAGGGGCUUGCGGCCUAUCAGCUAGAUGGCGGUGUAACGGACCCCCAUGGCGACGACGGGUAGCUGGUCUGAGAGGAUGGUCAGCCGGACUGGGACUGAGAUACGGCCCAGACUCCUACGGGGGGCAGCAAUUAGGAAUCUUGUGCAAUGGGCGAAAGCCUGACACAGCGACGCCGCGUGAGGGAGGAAGGCCUUCGGGUUGUAAACCUCUUUUGACGAGGAAGAACACAAUGACGGUACUCGUCGAAUAAGCCCCGGCUAACUCCGUGCCAGCAGCCGCGGUAAUACGGGGGGGGCGAGCGUUGUCCGAAGUUACUGGGCGUAAAGCGCGUGUAGGCGGGUUGUUAAGUCCGCUGUGAAAGCCCGGUGCUCAACGCCGGAGGGUCGGUGGAUACUGGCAGUCUUGAAGUGGCUAGGGGGAAAUGGAAUUACCGGUGUAGCGGUGAAAUGCGUAGAUAUCGGUAGGAACACCAGUGGCGAAGGCGGUUUCCUGGAGCUAACUUGACGCUGAGACGCGAAAGCUGGGGGAGCAAACGGGAUUAGAUACCCCGGUAGUCCCAGCCCUAAACGAUGGAUACUAGGUGUCAGGGGUAUCGACCCCUCUGGUGCCGCAGCUAACGCAGUA
rnacentral:rRNA from 1 species